rnacentral:rRNA from 1 species
UACGUAGGGUGCAAGCGUUGUCCGGAAUUAUUGGGCGUAAAGCGCACGUAGGCGGCUUAGCAAGUCGGAUGUGAAAUCCCUCGGCUCAACCAAGGAAGUGCAUCCGAAACUGCUGAGCUUGAGUACGAAAGAGGAUCGCGGAAUUCCCGGUGUAGAGGUGAAAUUCGUAGAUAUCGGAAGGAACACCAGUGGCGAAAGCGGCUUCCUGGUCCAGCACCGACGUUCAGGCACGAAAGCGUGGGGAGCAAACAGG